UUGAGGAUUGCACCGAGGAAGCGGCGGUCCUGCCUUGCGUCCCUCCGGGUGCAUGGGAUGCAGACUCUCGCUGCAGAGAUCACCUCGGAGCUUCGGCCUCACGUGAUGUCAUCAUUUGUGAUCCUUGACAUGGAGGCCAUAUAUGGUCAGGUCAUGAGACACUUUGCAGCUGCCAUGUUGGGAGGAAGCCCAAGCAGGCCACGCUAAGAGGCCCUGGCAGGUGAGACACCACGUGAGAAGAGAGUGGCCAAAGAGCACCACGGCGCCAGAUGGAGGAGAGAAGAUGCUGUCUUGGAAGUGUCCACCUGCAGCUGCUCCAGCUAAUGCCACGUGGAGUAGAGACAGCCCCCCAGCAGAACCCUGCCCAACUUCCUCACCCAUAAAAUCAUGAGCUAGAAUAAAGCGGUUGUUUCAUGCCACUGAA